GUGAGCCCUGAGCAGAGGGCACCAGGCAGUGCUAGGUGGCUGGUGGCAGCUGUGAUCCCUCACGGAAAGCUGAGGAAGGAGCACUGAGCGCCCCCUGGUGUCCAGGCCCAGACUGACUAUUGUGUUUCAGGGUGACCCAAUCCCAGCAGACAGUACCCCCAUCCCCACUGCUCUGUUCACUGUCCCCCUGCAUUAGGGUCAAGCCAGGUGGCCCCUGUGUAGCCUCCACAUCCCCACAGGUCAGUCUCUACUCAGACUCUUCAGGAGUGAGUCUGUCCACAGCUCCUUUAGCUGUUCAGUGGUGAGGACUGAGGGGGUGUCUCGUAUACAAACUCCUCUUAGAUCAGGAUCAAGUGCAGAGCAGUGACCGGCCCCAUGGAGGCAGGUCCCCUUCUGUGCAGGACACAGAUUCUUUCCUCGUAUGUGAUCCCUCCCUGUUAGGGAUUUAGCAGUGUGUCUCCAACACUCAAAGACUUUGCUCCAAACGUCCUAUUCCUGGUGGAAUGUAAGUACUUUGGUUUUUGCUAUGCUCUUUGACCAAUCAUUGCUGUUUACUGGUCUCCUCACUAAUGUAUGAGGUGAAUAAGAUAUUUUACAUGGCUCAUUCUCUACUUGUAUGAGAGUCAGGUGUUCACUUUUUUGAGUCAGGCUCACUCUGUUCCCAGCUCCAGGACACAGAAUAGGAAGCUAACUGGGACAGAGCACCAGAGACCUGUGCCCUGUGAGAUGGAGAAUCUCAAGAAUGAGCCCUCAGUAACCUAAGGAAUCACUUCCUUGGGGAACGGGACACAAGGCAUCUGGACUGCAGUGUGUCUCUAGACAUCUGUGAGCUGGGCCUCUGGGACUGUUCCUCACCUGAGAGAGGAGGCAGUUACAGGGGAGGAGCCAAGGUGAUGGCAGGCAGUGGCCACUAGUGUGGGUUCUUGAGAUGAAAUCGCCCUUCUCACCCCCUCUGGGAAGAGGAUGUCCUCAUGAGGGAGUUUUGCUCCUUUCUAUCUCUCCGGAGACUAUUGAAUUUCACACCGGGACCUCACUGAUUGCAGUGGGUGUCAUUGCUCCUGAGAAUGACCCUUUGCAGAACAUUAGAAAGAUUAGGGUGCCAGAAGCAGAGUGUUAUGAGACAGGUGCCCCUGGCCUGUGUUCCGUGCCCAGCUCCCAGUGUGCACAGUAGAAGACCCAACAUGAAUGAAUUACAAUGGUUGAGAGCAGAUGAUGCACAUGCUGGGACCACGUAGGGAAAACUUCUGUCAUUUCCUCUCCUCUCAGACUGCAAAUCUCCCAGUCAUGUGGUGAGCAUGUGACUUACCCCAGUUCCAGCUCCAGGGACAGGCCUUUCAUUUUCCAAUCAGACAAUCCCCUCCCUGCUCACCAUGAUGGAGUCAGGGGAGAUGGUGUGGGUGGUCUGGUCCAGUCCUCGCGAAGUCUGAGAUUCCUCUUCAAUGGAUCAUGGAGGGCAACUCUCAUUCAGGAGGGUUUAUGGUGUGGAUGUGAUGCCUGGGACUGCAGGGACAUUUUUGACCCAUGUGGGAUAUCAGCCUGGGGACAUGAGAGAUCACGGAGAAUGGACAAGUCAAACAAAUCUCAGAGAAGGAGUGAAGUCCAUUGAGAUUACUCAGUUCACAACUACAACAUUCCUGUCACCACUGAACAAGCAGGAAGGCUGUCGACUAUAUUUCCAUCACAAGGAUGAGCUCAGGACCUCAACCCCACACGUGUGUCCGUAGACCUUCAUCCAGGAGGUACAACUCACUCACAUUUUAUCCAGUCCCCAAGGACUACCCUCCAAACCUCUUUCCUACCUCCCCUUCCUCACCUCCAAAAACAUGUGGCGUCUGACCAACCUUCUCCACCUCACCUGCUCCAUCCCGCAUCCAUGACUCUAGUCUGAUCUUUGUACCAAAUCCACAAACCCCACCAGGCUCCUGCUUUCACUCUCAGCUCCUCCUCACUCAUCUUCCAUGAACAGCUGGACUUAAACUUAAUCAGAUUCCUUAUCUUCCUGGUCAAAUCCUCUAAUGGCUCCUAUCCCCCAUCCAAGCCCUGCCAAUAAUUGCUGUUCAGUUAAUCGUGCAGAUGGAUGGACCACUGAAUAGUGGCCUAUACUGAGUCACACUUGCCUGGACUGUGUGUGUGUCCCAGCUUUUUCUCUCUCCCAACAUGGACUCUGUCGUUAUGGCAGCCCACUGCUGAAAUUGAGAAAUAUCUGAUAAAUGUGACACAAUCAGAUAAUAUUUUGCCUUCACAUACAGACUCUUGAGCACAAAUUGGGAGGAUUGGGCCACAUGUUAUAGACCAUGUUCUCUGUAGUGGGCAUGAGACUCUUGUUUUUGACCAUGCAAACAAACAAGGGUACAGAAAAGCCACACUUCAGUGAGGACACUGUUUGCCCAAAUACUGCAAGAGCCAGUAGAGCAUUCUCUGUGCCUGCCUUGUGCAGCACACUGCCCUCUCUGUACCUACCCAACAACACACCUGCUGGUCUCAGAUCCAGGGUCCAUGAGCCCCUCUGGCUUCACUCAGCUCUCCUGGAGGGCAUCCUUAUUUUGCAUGUGGAUCUCUGUGAUGUCAGUAUCAGAAUCAUUCAAUGAGUAGGUCUCUUAUUGGAGACACAGGCUGAGAUAUAAAAUGUCUCCAGAUAACUAAUGACCUACAGGCUCCUAAAUAGAAGGAUGUAUUGCACAGUCCUGAUGUUGCCCGAUAUUUCAGGAUUAACUGACAUUUAACUUUGCUUCUGCCAGUGCCUGGGGUCUCUAUUAGUGUAGGACCAUCUUAAACCAAGUUCAAGACCUAAAAUCCUGCAAUGAACCUUCUUGGUUCAUGAAGAGAAAAAAUCUAUAAGGGAUACCCUGGCAGGCUGACGUAUGUUGUUGUCACUGCUAGUGUUGCUGCUGUUGUUGUGAGGGACUCCUGUUAGACCCCUCACCCCAAUGCACAAGUACUGCUGGAUGAUGCCUCCCUUGGCCACUAGAAUACAGUGCCAUCAGGGAAAUCGUGUCCUAUCUCCUGCUGACCUCUCUGGGCUCAUUUGCCCUUUGUUGCUGUUCUGGAGAUUUACUCUUUUGUCUUCUGAAUCUAGGAUAUAUUUAGGGUUGUUUUUACUAUUUUCGUCUAGUUUUAUCAUUAUUUUCAGUCAGAAGAUGGGUGAGUAAAACAUUACUAUGAACAUUUGUCUUUUUCUGAGAUUCAUCCUCCUUCCUUGACUUGGUGGCAUCCAAGAUCUAUCACCCAACCCAUACUGGGUCCCGAUCAGGUUUAUUUGGUAACUGCUCCAUAUUCUGACAUUCACGAAAGAACAGGGCUCUCUGGAAAUUUUCCUGUAAUCUCAGGGUUCUCUGUGAUAAUGAGGGUUGGUUCAUAGACUCUAGAUCCCAAAAAACUAAGGUGCCUUCAAAUAUCCUCUCACCACCCAAAAAAUAAACAGAAAACAACUAUAACUGCAAAACAAUUAAGAUUCACUGGAUUAAACUGGGGAAAGGGAGGAGGUGAUGGGCCUGAGAGCCAGGUAAUUAACGGUAAGAGUCCUCUCCUGCGCCUGGGAUCCAGGAGUUCCUCGAGGAUGUGAUCUGAGGAGAAGAAGAGAAACCCGUUUUGGGAAGGUUCCAGGGCUCAGGGAAUGAUCAGCAAAGCCAGGGCCAGGCUCAUGGGACGUGUAUGGGACUGAGCAGAUGAGGCCCUGGGUCUCCGGGGUCACACUGGCUGGACUUCUCUUCUCCAUGUCAUCCUACCCAGCAUGAGGCAGGGAGGUGUGAUUGUAAGUUCUGGUGACAAAGUGAUUUUCUUACAUUGGAAAACGAGUAGUUAAAUGGGUUGUUUUCAUUGCAUUGAUAAAUUUAGAAUGACUCAAAAGCAUCAGUCUCUCUGGUUUUAGUUGCACAAGUGACAGCAGAAGCCAAACCCUGGGCUGCUGUUGACCACAGGCAGGGACAGAGGAGAGUUAGGUGAGACUGCGGAGUGGAGGGCAGAUCCUUGUCUCACUCCUCGCAGACUUGGAGUGGCAUGGAGGUUGAGUGCAGCUGUUUGACAGUGACAAUUAGCCUCAUCAUCAUGCUGGUUCAGGAGGUUAGGAUGACAGACCCAGAUCUGGAGUUUGGUCUGGAACCCCUGAAGGCCCAUCACUGCUGUUCUAGGUCACAGACCUAGGGGCUCUGCCUCAAAGUCGUUGGUUUUGGGGUUUCCAUGACAACCUACAACGUUUGUGUUAUUACAGAAGAUGGUUUGGGUCCUUCUACAGAGCUUCACAGGAUGGAUUUACUUCAUGCACAUAUUGGGGAGCUUCUGGUCCCUCAUAUUCCACUGAACCUCUCCUACACGUUGUCUAGCUGGAAAGGUCCACUGAGAUAUAAGAGGAGAGAAAAACUCACAUCUGUACCUGUGGGCUCAGGAACACCCACUCACAGGAGUUCCCAUGAGGCCUGAGUGAGAUCAGCUUUAGGAAAGUCACGUCCACAGGACCUACUUCACCCGACUUCCAUGGAGCAGGCUCAGCAUUUUCCUCGCCUUCUCCCUGACAUCACAACUGUAGGUCCAGGCACCCAGCAAGUGUGCCAGGCCAGCUCUGUGUCUGGAAUUCCUCCUGGGAUGUUUCUCACAAAAGCAUCUCACGUUUUGGUGUCUUUUCCCUGAGCACAGUGAGCCUCAGCAUAAUCUGAGCACAGAAGCCUGGGAGGGAGGGAAGGUCUCUGCUCUGAGCCCUCACAGAGCAGAGUCCCUGCUGUGGAGGACUGUGUACCUCUUGCAUGGACCCUGGGUUCCAAUGAAGAAACAAUCUAGAAGAGGCUGAUUUGCCAGCUUUGAAGACAAAAACCCCAGCUAAAAAUACUCUGAUUUCAUUACAGAUGGGUCGUGAGGUAAAGAUGCAGGGUCAUCAUGAGAAUUUUAUUUUAUUUGGUUUGUUUUUCGUUUUGGUGUUUGUUUUCCUGAGUCUUCAGAAAUAUUGACUGGAAAAUUGGGAAGACAGCCAGGUGAACCGGAACCUACUUUGAGAUAUAGUUGAUGUGUAUACACAUUACUUUUAAAUUGCGGAAGAACUUAUUCUAGUGUCUAAGCAGACUGAGGUUUUUGUCCCAUUUCCCUCUCUGCCUAUGUCACCAUGAGAAGCCUCACUGUGCCAGAUGCACAGGCUGGAUUCCAGAGAUGAGCAGAAGCCCUGCAUUGUCCGAGGCCUCCUUGGAACCAUAGGAGCAGCUGGGGACCUGAAGCCCUGGUGCUUAUCUGAAUUUGUGUGGAGUAGAGGAGACACUGGCAACGGGUCCCUGGCUUCUGCUGGUACCAGAAUGUAUCUUUGCUGCCAACAUUGAUGCCACUUCUCAGGUUGCAGGUCUUUGCUGGAAUACAAAAUACAAUUCAUGGUUUCAUGCGGGUAUCGUACCUCAAAGCCCAGGUUGGAGCCCUCAGAGCAGAAGCAUCUCUGGUCCCUCCAACCCCGUAGGAGGGCCCAGCCUGACUCAGCCUUUCUCGGGCUCAUCCAGUUUCUCCAUCGAGAGCUGUUUGUCUCCGAGCAAGGGCUCACUGCAGUGGACACGUUAACAGGGUGAGAAUACACUAGCAAUGGAUUCAUCUUAAUUCUGAACUGAAGAAAACUAUGUGAUAUUGUCAGAUCAAGUUGCCUGAGGAAAUUCAAGUGCUGACAGAAAAACAAUGACAACAGAAGUUACUCCCUGAAGCAGACUUGGUCAGAGUCACAGCCGUGCCGGUGGCACAAGGCCAGGAGAGUGGAUGGAGGCUUGCAUCUCACUUCCUCGUGGGUGUGGAGCACUGGGUGAGCCUUAGGGCUGUCAAGCCACAUAUCACAGUAAUAGUCAGCCUCGUCCUCAGGCAGGAGUCCAGAGAUGAGCAGAAGCCCUGCAUUGGCCGAGGCAUCUUUGGAUCCAGAGAGGUGACUGGGGACCUCAGAGCCCUGGUGCAUAUCUGAGUCUGACUAGUAGUACAGGAGACACUGAGCAGGGCUCCCUGGCUUCUGCUGGAACCAGUGUACCCAGUAGUUGCCAACACUGAAACCACUGCUCAUGGUGCAGGUGAGUCUGGCUGUUGUUCCCAGAGAUGUGGAGAGGGAGGAUGGCUGAGUCAGCACAGAAUGGGAGAAGGCACCUGAAGACACAAAUAAACAUGGGUGAUGGGGCAGAGUCCAGGGCAAAGUUUCUCAGGGUCUGGGCCAGAGGGGCUGACACAGGCUAGAAACUGAGACGUGCUCCCCAAGGCCUGUCCCUACGUGUGCAGUGAGAGAGGAGCACAAGCAAGAGAAGAGUGCGGGCCAUUGUGCACCUAGCCCCCUGGUCCCCACAGUCAGGCUGCAUUGCCCCAGGCCACCUUUUCUUCUCCACCCUCUGCCACAGGAGGGGUUGUCCAUGCAAAUGAAUUUCCAUCCAGUGACUGCUCAGCCCCUGCCUGAGCCCUGGCACUGGAGCUCAGCUCACACCAGACACUGAGGGAGAUGGAGUCUGGCUUCAUCCCUUGGGAGAGCCCUGGGAGAAAUCACCAGCUGAGACAACACAAUGGUCCCUGCUAACGGGACUCUGUCAGGCCAGAGAGGCCCAAUCAGCCAAGUCUGCAUCAGUGAGCACACAGCCCAUCCCUCAAAGGGCCCAGGCUGCUUUGAGUGGAUGGUUCUCAGAGACCAGCUGUGUAGGGACCACAGGGCAGUCCCACACUGCCCAGUGCUUGUCUCAGUGCACACACCUCAAAAUGACCCAAAUCCCUGAGAGCCCAGCUGAAUCCUGCAGCUCAGCAGGUCACUGUCCCUGUUUACACAUCCAUGGGCUCAUACCUUGAUAUGAUGAUUUCAAUACACUGUAUAAGAUUCUUCCAGUAUCGCGUUCCCAGCAGGUGUCCCCAUAUAUAGGAGAUGCAUAAAAUGAACAAACGUGACAUGGUAAGGUGUUAGCACCCCUAGGGAAGAUGCCGCAAACAUCGUAUCUCUUCAUUUGUAUGUAAUUAAAAUUUGCAUACAUUUUAGGGUUCUAUCUCUGAUGCUUUAAAAGCAAUAAGUUCAAACCACUCUCACAUAAAUUUAUGUGUGUUUUAAUCUCCCAUUUUUUAGCUAAUUUAUUUGUCGUGCUGAUGACAAAUUAAAGCAGCACAGGGAUUCCUAAUAUUUGCUGCUAUGCAGCUCCCAUCAUGCCGUAUUGUAUUAGAAUAAAGUCAGACCAGCAGAUAAGUCAUUAGAUCCUCAUUUGUUGGUGUCCUUCAUCCAUUUCUCCCUGGUCAGAAUCCUCUCUUCUAUGGACACAGAGCUUACAAUCCCCAUAAUUCGUUCAUGAGUUUUCCUGCUAGGAUCCUUUGUAGCAUUUGUGACUGAAAGGAGUAAUGUUAGAAUUUCAUUGAUCUUAUGCUGGAUCAUGAGCUCUAAAUUUGCAUCUUGUUGGCAGUGGCUGUCUUACAUGUUCUUAAGUGAAACCUCAUCUGACAUUCACCCAGCUCACCCACACUCUGCAGUCUAGUUGCUGAUGGAACUUGUCUCCUGUACUCAGGGUUUGGUCUACCAUCCACCUGCUCCCUGUGGGUUCUUUGCUCAGUACCUGGAGGCUCAUCACGUCCUUCUUCACUUUCUGAACCCAUGGAAUCCAGUCCAUCUGACUGAUCACCUCCCCCCAAACUCAAGUACAUGUUUCUCUCCUAUUCUAUACAAAUAUGAUCAAUGUUGUUACACAAAUCUCCUCUUCAAUCAACUCAAAAUCUCAAACUCAAAAUGAAAGCCAAAAUCAUUAACUUUGCUUCAGUUCUGCUCCUGUCCAAGAGUUUCCAAUUCAGGAGAAUUCAAAUAUUCAUUCAACAAAUGUGUGUUUAGUGUUUUGCGUGCGUCUGGCGGUAUUCUGGGCUCUGUAGAUACAAAACCGGAAAACAGAUCUGUUCCCAUGGAGCUUAGAUCCAAGCAGGGGAAACACACAGUGACCAGAGUCACUAACCAUAAAGAUACAGCCUCCCUCGACUGAUCCUUCCCCAGACGGUUAUGUCCCUGGGAAUCUGGAGCCCGCUCCUGACUGCUGAGAGCCUCUAACUCAGACAGGACGUGGACACUGAGCUUCCCAUGCUCUGUCCACAGCCUUCCCUUCGUCUUCACACCUCCCUGCCUCAUGCCAGAUGCCUGAGUGCAGGUGCCCAUCCCUGCUCACCUGGCCAUGCAGAGUUCCUCAGUGUGGUCUUAUCUAUCGUGUUGUAUGGUAUAUUUCAUUAUUUAAACUUUAUUCAAAGGGACAUUCCAAACACAUGUAUCUGAUAAAUCCACCUCUCUGCUUAAAAAUCUGCCAUAGAUUCUCUCCCUGUCAAGAUUAAGUAAAAAUACUGAGUGCCCCAUUCAAGGUGUCUAUGUGUAUGGCCACCAUUUCUUCUCCUGCUUCCUGCUUCACCUCUCCCCCUGUAGCCUGUACAAAAGCAUAAGCAGAUCUUGUUUGCAAAGAGGAUAUUUAACCCUAGACCUUAGAGUACCCUUCUGAGUCCUUCUGGUCCCCCAGCUCCACCCUUGACCUCCUUCCCUCAGGACCAGCAUCACACAUCACCUGCUGGAGAAGUUUUGACCACACUCAGAUGGUCAUCUUUUCCAGAAUGGAACAUUCUGCAUACCUGAGCAUUUCCUUUAAAGCUCCUAAAUGCUUUAGAGGAAAUAGAAACUUGAACUUCGGAACUAAGAGUUUUCACAUUGAUUAUGUAACUGUGUUGGUCUCUGAUCUUGGGGAAAGGAUUCAGUCUGUGACCAUUUAGCAUGAUAUUAGCUGUAUAAUUUUCAUAGAAGCACUUUAUCAGGUUGAGGAAAUUCCAUUCCACAAUAUUCGUAGUUUGCUGAGAGCUUUCAUUUUUAAAAUAAUGAAUGAAUUCUGAGUGAAUCAAUGUUUUCACAUGUGCCUUUAUUGAGAUGACUAUAUGUAUGUAUAUAUAUAUAUAUAUAUUCAGAUUUUUCUUAGAGGGUGAAUUCCAUUGACUGAUUUUCAAAUGUUAAAUCAUCUUUGAAUUUCUGGUGAACCACUUUUGCUGUAUUAUUUGACUCAGUUAGCAAAUACUUUAUUACAUAUUUGUAUCUGUGUUCAUGAAGAAUAUUGGUUUUUAAUUUUCUUUUAUUUUAAAGAUUUUCUCUGGUUAUAACAUAAAGGCAAGCUUGUCUUCAUAAAAUACUUUGCAAAUUA